UACAGAGACUGCAAGCGUUAUUCGGAUUCACUGGGCGUAAAGGGUGCGCAGGCGGCCGGGUGUGUCAGAUGUGAAAUCCCGAGGCUCAACCUCGGAACUGCGUCUGAAACUACUCGGCUAGAGUACUGGAGAGGGUAACGGAAUUCACGGUGUAGCAGUGAAAUGCGUAGAUAUCGUGAGGAACACCAGAGGCGAAGGCGACUACCUGGCCUGUUCUUGACGCUGAGGCGCGAAAGCUAGGGGAGCAAACGGG
rnacentral:rRNA from 1 species